rnacentral:lncRNA from 1 species
UGUCCAUUGAAAAUAAAAUAAGAAUGGAAUGUUACAAGAUCAGAAAUUUCUCUAAGACACGAUGAAAGACCAUCAGCAUAGAGUAAGUGUUGUUCAAGAAAUUGAAAAAGUGCACGAGAGGCAGGUAGUAACUCAACAGAUGGAUAUAAUGCUUCGUAAUCGAAAACAGACAUGGUUUCGUUUGGGAAAGGCCCUGUCUCUAACAAAACAUCAAUUAGGUCAACGGAAGAUUUUAAAUGGAAAUCAUAGGGUUCGAGCAGUUGUCUGCACCAAUUCGCUAACUUUUUCUCGAUUAAGAAUGUUGGUGCAAAGAAACGUUGAAUGAUUGGGCGUGCUAUAAUAGGAG